rnacentral:lncRNA from 1 species
UUGAAGAACGGGUUAGACUGGUACUGAGGCUGUUAGCUGCUCUCUCUGGUUUUGACCUGGAGGAGACAGGCUACUGGCCCUUGGCUGUUUCUACCUUAUUGUUUCCAGUCUGACUUGACUCCCUGCUGGCUGGUAUCUACAGAUCUUCUUGAUGAGGAUAUUGAAGCCCAGAGAGGAUUCCUUUGGAGGAAAUGAAAAUAAGGGGCCAGAAGAAAUUUUCCUGUAUCAUUAAGGAGAUCAUCUAUGGAAGUGACAGAGAACAUUUUAGAGACUUCAUGCCCAAACUACAAUCUUCAUACCACAUUAACUAGUGCAGUACCAGUCACAUAGUUGGCACUUUAAAAAAUCUUGUUUACUUAAUGGAUUAUAAUCUGCAUCAUUGAAGAGAAACCACACUGAUGAAAUUACUGAUACAUUGGAGUACUAAAGUAUUAUAAUAGAAUAUCUAAUUUGAAUGACAACAGACCUGAAUGAAUGACUAGAUGAAUGAAUAUAAUCUACUGUUCUUCUAUGUACAAUUCAUCCUAACAAAAUAAAGUCUUGAUAUGGUAGCUAACA